rnacentral:tRNA from 1 species
AACAAUGGGAAUUAAUAAUGCAACCUUUGAUUUACAAGACCAAUGCUCCAACUUUGAGCUACCAUUGC